CCCCAGCUAACAGACUCUUGGGAACAUUCGGGGCCGGCUGGCUUUAUCUACACUUGACCGCCCUCUCUGGCGAAUUUCUGGAGCUCCACGCUCUGCACAAAGAGCCGUUCGAGGCCUCCAGGCUUUUCCCUGGGAUUUAAACUGACCAAGUCAAGACGGAGGGCAAGGCUGAGUGGGGUGGAGGCUGAUUUUGGGAAGCACUUCACCGCCUCGGGGACGGACACGAAAGUCCCACCUCAGAAGUCACAGGUAAGAUUUCGGCGAAACCCCCACACCCCCACCGUGGGAAUUAUUUUAGCCCGCUGUCUUUUACUAAUCCAGGGUGUGAGGGUGGUGGGAGCUGUUGCUAAAUACAGCGACCUCGAGACCCCUCAAAGAAUAAGAAAGCCUGUGGGCGGCUCUAGGGUACUCGGGGAGGUGGGGAGAGACCAAUGGAUUGUCCGGAAACGGUUCCACAGCCUCCAACGCUGCACCCCCUUCCACCCAGUCCACCCAGUUGGAAGGACUCCGGGGUCUGAGGUUAACUGUUCACUCCUCACUCAGUACCGAGGCCGACCCAGAGGAAAUAGAAUUACUGACUCCUAGGCCAAAGCCAAGCUACCAGAUUUUUUUCCUGCUCGAGGACCGAGUAAGGCCGCUUCUCAUCCCAAAGGACACAGCGGCGGCCGCAGGCUUGGGGUGGGGAGGUGAUCUUGCCUCCGAAACGCCUUGUGGCAGAUGUCACACGUGUAUGGCCUCUCGUCCGUGUGGGUUCUCUCGUGAAUGAGCAAGUUGUAGGAUUUGGGGGGUCUUCCUGCGUGGCGGCCACCGCCAAGUUGGCAAAGUCAAAACGGGGCCGGUCCUUGUGCAGCGCUGGAAGGACGUGGGCGAUGGCCCCCUGCUUGGGGUGGAACAGGUGCGUGGUGAAGGGCAGCGCGGGGAAGGGGAAGCGAGCGUCCACGAGGCCCUGCGCCGCAGCCAUCUCCGUGAUGGUGGAGCGCGUGAUCUCGUGCACGUUGGGGUACCCCAGCGUCCAGUGGUUCAUGUGCAUCGUCUGCACGGCGCUGAGCCCAUACAGGCCCUGAAGGUGGUCCACGGCGGCGGGGAAGGUGUUCACCGCCUGCAGGAAGGAGUAGUUGGUGAGCUGCAGCGAUGGGUGGAGCGGGAUGGGCGCUGGCAGGGCCUUGCUCCCCAUCUUCCUGGCGGCGGCGCCGGGGGGCUGCGGGAAGCCGCCCCCUUCUUCCAGGUCUCAGAGGCCGGCGGGCGCGAGAGAAAGAAAAAAACAGCAGCACGCAGAGGAGGCCCUAAAAACGUCCAGGGGAGAGAGGGAGACACCGUGAUUAUUAUUCAGCCCCGCGAGUACCCCGCCGGUUACAUCGCCUAAGUUCCCGUCUCCAGGACUCCAGGGCCCGGGCGGCAAGUGGCCCUCUGGCGAGCGGGUGGCAGGAAGAUCGGAUUCCCGGAGAGGGGACCCCGCCCGGGGAAGA